rnacentral:rRNA from 1 species
GAUGAACGCUGGCGGCGUGCCUAAUACAUGCAAGUCGAGCGAACAGAUGAGGAGCUUGCUCCUCUGACGUUAGCGGCGGACGGGUGAGUAACACGUGGAUAACCUACCUAUAAGACUGGGAUAACUUCGGGUAACCGGAGCUAAUACCGGAUAAUAUAUUGAACCGCAUGGUUCAAUAGUGAAAGACGGUUUUGCUGUCACUUAUAGAUGGAUCCGCGCCGCAUUAGCUAGUUGGUAAGGUAACGGCUUACCAAGGCAACGAUGCGUAGCCGACCUGAGAGGGUGAUCGGCCACACUGGAACUGAGACGCGGUCCAGACUCCUACGGGAGGCAGCAGUAGGGAAUCUUCCGCAAUGGGCGAAAGCCUGACGGAGCAACGCCGCGUGAGUGAUGAAGGUCUUCGGAUCGUAAAACUCUGUUAUUAGGGAAGAACAAAUGUGUAAGUAACUAUGCACGUCUUGACGGUACCUAAUCAGAAAGCCACGGCUAACUACGUG